GAAGCUUGCUGGAGGUAUCAGAAGUGCGAAUGCUGACAUGAGUAACGACAAUGCGAGUGAAAAACUCGCACGCCGAAAGACCAAGGUUUCCUGCGCAACGUUAAUCGACGCAGGGUUAGUCGGUCCCUAAGGCGAGGCUGAAAAGCGUAGUCGAUGGAAAACAGGUUAAUAUUCCUGUACUUCCAGUUAUUGCGAUGGAGGGACGGAGAAGGUUAGGCCAGCCUGGCGUUGGUUGUCCAGGUUUAAGGUGGUAGGCUGAAAUCUUAGGCAAAUCCGGGAUUUCAAGGCCGAGAGCUGAUGACGAGUUGCCUUUAGGCGACGAAGUGGUUGAUACCAUGCUUCCAAGAAAAGCUCCUAAGCUUCAGAUAACUGGGAACCGUACCCCAAACCGACACAGGUGGUUAGGUAGAGAAUACCAAGGCGCUUGAGAGAACUCGGGUGAAGGAACUAGGCAAAAUGGCACCGUAACUUCGGGAGAAGGUGCGCCGGCGAGGGUUAAGGACUUGCUCCGUAAGCCCAUGCCGGUCGAAGAUACCAGGCCGCUGCGACUGUUUAUUAAAAACACAGCACUCUGCAAACACGAAAGUGGACGUAUAGGGUGUGACGCCUGCCCGGUGCCGGAAGGUUAAUUGAUGGGGUUAGCGCAAGCGAAGCUCUUGAUCGAAGCCCCGGUAAACGGCGGCCGUAACUAUAACGGUCCUAAGGUAGCGAAAUUCCUUGUCGGGUAAGUUCCGACCUGCACGAAUGGCGUAACGAUGGCGGCGCUGUCUCCACCCGAGACUCAGUGAAAUUGAAAUCGCUGUGAAGAUGCAGUGUAUCCGCGGCUAGACGGAAAGACCCCGUGAACCUUUACUAUAGCUUUGCACUGGACUUUGAAUUUGCUUGUGUAGGAUAGGUGGGAGGCUUUGAAGUGGGGACGCCAGUUCUCAUGGAGCCAUCCUUGAAAUACCACCCUGGCAACUUUGAGGUUCUAACUCAGGUCCGUUAUCCGGAUCGAGGACAGUGUAUGGUGGGUAGUUUGACUGGGGCGGUCUCCUCCCAAAGAGUAACGGAGGAGUACGAAGGUGCGCUCAGACCGGUCGGAAAUCGGUCGUAGAGUAUAAAGGCAAAAGCGCGCUUGACUGCGAGACACACACGUCGAGCAGGUACGAAAGUAGGUCUUAGUGAUCCGGUGGUUCUGUAUGGAAGGGCCAUCGCUCAACGGAUAAAAGGUACUCCGGGGAUAACAGGCUGAUACCGCCCAAGAGUUCAUAUCGACGGCGGUGUUUGGCACCUCGAUGUCGGCUCAUCACAUCCUGGGGCUGAAGCCGGUCCCAAGGGUAUGGCUGUUCGCCAUUUAAAGUGGUACGCGAGCUGGGUUUAGAACGUCGUGAGACAGUUCGGUCCCUAUCUGCCGUGGACGUUUGAGAUUUGAGAGGGGCUGCUCCUAGUACGAGAGGACCGGAGUGGACGAACCUCUGGUGUUCCGGUUGUCACGCCAGUGGCAUUGCCGGGUAGCUAUGUUCGGAAGAGAUAACCGCUGAAAGCAUCUAAGCGGGAAACUUGCCUCAAGAUGAGAUCUCACUGGGAUCUUGAAUCCCCUAAAGGGCCGUCGAAGACUACGACGUUGAUAGGUUGGGUGUGUAAGCGCUGUGAGGCGUUGAGCUAACCAAUACUAAUUGCCCGUGAGGCUUGACCAUAUAACACCCAAGCAAUU
rnacentral:rRNA from 1 species